rnacentral:rRNA from 1 species
UGGGGAAUAUUGGACAAUGGGCGCAAGCCUGAUCCAGCCAUGCCGCGUGAGUGAUGAAGGCCCUAGGGUUGUAAAGCUCUUUCAACGGUGAAGAUAAUGACGGUAACCGUAGAAGAAGCCCCGGCUAACUUCGUGCCAGCAGCCGCGGUAAUACGAAGGGGGCUAGCGUUGUUCGGAUUUACUGGGCGUAAAGCGCACGUAGGCGGAUCGUUAAGUGAGGGGUGAAAUCCCAGGGCUCAACCCUGGAACUGCCUUUCAUACUGGCGAUCUGGAGUUCGAGAGAGGUGAGUGGAAUUCCGAGUGUAGAGGUGAAAUUCGUAGAUAUUUGGAGGAACACCAGUGGCGAAGGCGGCUCACUGGCUCGAUACUGACGCUGAGGUGCGAAAGUGUGGGGAGCAAACAGGAUUAGAUACCCUGGUAGUCCACGCCGUAAACGAUGAGCACUCGGUGCCGCGGGUAUCGACCCCUGCGGUGCCUGAGCUAACGCAUUAAGUGCUCCGCCU